rnacentral:rRNA from 1 species
CCUACGGGUGGCAGCAGUGAGGAAUAUUGGUCAAUGGGCGCGAGCCUGAACCAGCCAAGUCGCGUGAGGGAUGACGGCUCUACGGGUUGUAAACUUCUUUUGUAGGGGAGUAAAGUGCGGCACGUGUGCCUUUUGGUAUGUACUUUCUGAAUAAGGAUCGGCUAACUCCGUGCCAGCAGCCGCGGUAAUACGGAGGAUUCGCGCGUUAUCCGGAUUUAUUGGGGUUAAAGGGAGCGUAGAUGGGGGCUUAAGUCAGGUGGGAAAGUGGGCGGCUCAACCGUAAAAUUGCAGUUGAUACUGGAAGUCGUGAGUACAGGUGAGGUAGGCGGAAUUCGUGGUGUAGCGGUGAAAUGCGUAGAGAUCACGAAGAACUCCGAUUGCGAAGGCAGCGUACUAAACUGCCACUGACAUUGAUGCGCGAAAGCGUGGGUAUCAAACAGGAUUAGAUACCCGAGUAGUC